rnacentral:lncRNA from 1 species
GGGUGGCGCGGACCUCGGGUCCCCAGCCAUCGGCGCUCUCCCGGGGCCCUCUGACCUCGCUCCUUAAAGGAGGAGGGUCCGUGGCAACGGUCCUCCUCGGCCAGGCGCUCUCGGGACGCGGGGGUGAGGAGUGAGCGCCGUGGCCCACCCUACUCUCCGAGCGGGGACGGAGUGGGCGACACCGCGCGCCCGGCUGCACGCAGGCUCUGCGCGGCUCGAGGCGGCCCUACAGGGGGCGAGGAGGAACCCCGGAGACUCGGCGGAGAGAGCAGAGACGGAGCUCACCAAGGGGCUUGCCGCCGCAGAGCGCGGGAGCCGGCACUCGGGGUACUUAACCGAAACUAGCAAUCCCAGGCGGUACAAGGCCCUCCAUCGUAGGCAAAGCACUACCUGAAUGUAGAUUUGGGCCAUACGUUGGAAAAUAAGACAUGAGAGUAUGCUCCGAUCAACUUUUACUGUUCACUGGACAACUAUUUUGGGAAUUUGCAGACCUAUAAAGCCCAUCUAUAAAUCUCAAGCAUGUCCACUUUCAGAGAAGAGAAAUGCUGACAACCAUUUAGUCUCUGAGGACAACACUUUUAAAGUGUAACAAUGUGGCAUCCAGAGCUUAUCCAGAUGAGCGGAGAGCAAAUGAAUUUCCUUCUGCUCCCCUGUUGAAGAGGAGAGAAAAAUUCUUCAAGCUGACUCCAUCAUAGGACUGGAGAGAGAUUGGAUGUCAGAGUGAUUGAUGUGCUCCUACUGGAAGAAGGCAAACAUCCAUAUGUGAACUGCCUGUGGGGUUUCCAAGGAAAGGAACGGCAGGCAGCCUCUAUGAGCUUAAAGAAGAUAACUGGGACUUUAGUCCUAUAACCUCAAGGAACAGUAUUCUGUGAACCAUCUGAGAAGCUUGGAAGAGGACCCCAAACUCCAAAUAAGAAGCUCAGUGUGUCUGACACCUUGACUGCAGGCUUGGGAGGUCCUGAGCAGAAGAUCCAGUUCAACAGUGCCUGGACUCCUGAUCCACAAAAACUGAUAACAAAUAUUUAUUGUUUUAAGAUGCUAAGUUUGUAGUCAUUUUUUAUACAGCAACAGAAAACUAAACACACACAUAAACAGUUAUAAGUGCUCACUGUAUAUGAGGCUUUUCAUUAAUAAUCUAUAUUUUAUAAUAGAAUUAGAAUAUAGAUCUGUGAAGCUGAAGACACUCAAUCCUUGCUAGAUUUAAAUCAGGAAAAUCAGCUGAGAAUCAUUCCUUGAUAGAACCUGGAAAACAAGACCCUAUGAGAGACCCUGGGAAUUACAUUAAAUUCACUGUGGUUCCCAGUGUCACUGAAGAGGUUUUCCUUUCAUAGUCAGGUAGUCACCAUACUGUUAAGCAUUUGAACACAUGGGCAACUUCCAGAAUAGUUAUGACAUUGAUAUACCAAUCUCCAAAAUUCCUAGAAUACCAUGUUUUCAUGGUUGACCUUCAAAUCAGUCAGUUCUUUGUAACAUUGAGCCAUAAAGAUAGGGCAAAUACUUAAUGUUUUACAUAUAUUCAGAGAUUGACCCUCAAAAUACAGCCCAGAGAAACUCAAAAGAAUUAACUCUAUUUCUUCAAAUUGUGUGACGCCACCAAGGCCAGAUGACUUCAGCAUUGGGAAGGCAAUAUCCAGCUGUCAUCUUCUUGAUCCUCAUAUGCUACUACUAGCAUCUAGCAUUUACUGAGCAGAUAGUUUUAUUGUCCAGUUUUUAAAGAUAAGAAAAUUGAGGUAUUAGGAAAGUUAAGUUGGUUGCCUAGGGAAACACGAAGAUAUAGCCCAGAUUCACUCCCAGGCAGGCAGAUGCCAGUGUCUGCUCUCUUUACCACCGAAAUAUCCUGCUACAUGUACAAUUUCAAUAAAUAUCUGGACUUACUGGAACAAAACAAA